AGAGAACCAAGGAGACUUUUCGUAGUAAAUAGAUAAACACUAUUAAGUAUUAAUUAACUAUUCAUGAUAAGGAUAUGCAGUCAUCUGCAGAUCAGUGCACAAUUUAGGUUUUACUAAGGCAGUUUAACUGAGGUGUCCUAUGUUGUGGGUGAGUUUGCUAAUCACAGAGCUUCUAUUGACACAACUGUGCCUCCUGCCAAAGAGUCAGCUCCCAGUCUCCACAACACGGCAGGGCCAGCGGACACAGCCCAAAGCUACAGGAUGGCUUUGCCACCGCUCUGCUUACGCUACUGAGCUUAGCAAGAUCAUGACCUCCACCUCGUUUGGUCUAAGAAGUAAGAACUCUUCUUUGGCUUGCCUGAAGCUGUUCAAUCGUCUCUACAGACCACAGUCCAUCUGACACUGUGUUACAUAAACUGCAGACCAUGGAGGGAAGAGGCACAAAAAGGGAAUACAUAUUUCUCUGUGAUAGUUUUCAGCACAUGUUCGCAGUUGUCAGAGUCUUACCUACUUUUUAUUCUUGCUUCCCUGGAAAAACCUUUUUGAGAGGUGGGGCAUUUGUCAAAGAACAAGAAAGGCAAUAACCAGACAGUUAGGUAUAUCACAGCCAGUCCGUCCAGAUUGUAUGUAAAUUAAGUAGUUACACAGUGAAGUAAUAACCUUUUCAAAUGACUGAUAAUAACACUUACAAAUUCUUGGAACAGCCCUGCUGGCUGAAGAGAAGUAAAUCAAACUGAAAAACAGAAGACGACCAGCAUGACAAAUAGUGUCCAGUCGAUCACAUUUCUUUCCUCAGGAAAAUACUUCCAUUAAUGCAAAUGGAGGUAUAAUUUAAUAUCGAAAACUUCCAGAAGGGUAAAAAGCAAAUAAAGGACAAACUGUACCAGGAAAAUAUGACCGGCUGAUUUGACAGCACUACAGAAAUAGUCAGAUUAAGAAAACAUUCCAUUUGAGGGACCAUUACUUAGAAGUGAUCUGAUUCAUAGCUUGUUUUUGUUUUGUUUUUCUUUCAUAGCAUUUAGGUCAAAAGGGAUCACUGGAAAAUCCAGGCCAUCCUCCUGUUUGCGAAGAGACUUUACAUUUCACCCAAAAGCUUAUAUGUAAAACCCCUUGCUUUUUUUUGUUGUUGUUUGUUGCAUUCCCUGUGUUUGGCUGACACGUAUUCAGAAUUACAUUCAGUCCUGAGCUGAAGAACCAAGAGAGGGUUAUUCUGUCAUCCCCCUUGGGAGUUCACCUCAAUGGUUUGUCACUUUCACCCAAAAAUAUCUUCACCAAUUUUUUUAGUGUGACUUUCACUGAUGACAUGACAUAAUUAGGUUUUUUAGUAAGGCACUUACUAAAGCAUUUAAUACUGGAAUCAUUUUUUUUAGAAAUGGUUUAGAGAAUCAUGAUUAGAGUUAUGGAUAAACUCUCAGAUUCUGAUGUUUGUUAGGAAAGGCUUGUUUCUGCCUUCCAAGCGAUUUUUUUUCUUUCCAAACAAAUCUUCUCAAAUAUUGUGCAACUCAUCCUUCUAUUUUCACAUGCCGUUCCGAGUCUUAAACUCAGGCUACAUUUCAACAGGUUUCAAAAGCCAUUUGCAAAAUGCAAGUCCAAGGCAAUACCUUUGCUCUGUGCUUUAUUUGGACAAAAACUUGUGAAAAAGGGGAGGAGGGGAAGAAGUGGAAGGUGAGAUGCUAUGCCCAAAUUGGUAAGCAGUCUCCUGACAUCUGAGAGACUUCUUAUUGUACUUCAUUCAGCUGAGAGACUGGGACUUGGGCAUCCUGUAGUUCACACUUGCCUGUUCUAAUGAUCGGCUUUUAUAAAGCAGCUGCCUUGUUUCUGUCUUUUGGAGCCAUUUCAGUUUCCAAACAUGAUUGAACAAGCACUGAUGUUGAAUCUUGAUCUUAGCUCUCCCGCAUGGCAGAGAAGUGCACCAGCUGAUGUGCACCACCCGUCAGCACCUUGUUUCUCCUUUUUUAUAGCAAAAAAUAAUCUUAGAGUACAGACGUAUCAUCACACACAAUUAAACUGUUUCACCUUAGAGAGAUAUCCCCAUGCCAGAACGUGGUGUUGGAGCAUCCCAGCUGUAAGUUAAAAUGCAGUAGUUUAAAUGGCAGUUGAGAUGAGAUAGACUCAUAAAUUUCACCUCACACUUAAGAUACGCAAACAAGGCAGCCCUGAAAUGACCUUGCAGUCAACUAGGAAGAGGUAACCUCUCAAACUCUCACAACUGGAGCAUUUUUUGGUUACAUGUCUAUGUGCCAGGUUUCAUCCUACUACAGAAAAUAAAAUUUUGUGAAAGCUGAAAGGUUUUAUGGGACGGUGAAUUUGCUUUCACUUAGACUUACCGUUCAAUUGUUUCUCUACUUAAUUACAUUUUCCUCAAAAUCCGUUUAUUCAUGCAAAAUGACUGACAAACAGCAUGUGUAAACACAAUUUAAAACCUUGUUUUAAAACUUUUCUACUCGAUUUCUCACUUUCUAAUGAAGGCAUACUCUCGGAAAUAGCUUGGCCCGUGUGAAACUGUGAACUGCAGGCACUCGAUUCAAAUUUAGAUUGAAUAAGAGUUAGUCAGUAACUGAUUAAUUCUUUGUAGCAGCAAAUAUUUUUCUCAUCCGUUGCUUAUUGACAGAACUGCUAGGCGCUAUACUGAACAAUGAGCGAUUUCUUCUCUCUCCCCACCCCUCACCCAGCUACAGCCCAAACCCAAACGUUGGCUCCAAAUACUCCCAUGCUCUUUCAGGAGGGAAAAAAAAGUAAUUUUGCAUUGAAAGAUCAUCGCCAAAGCCGAUCCCACUAGCAGUCCGAUCUUCUUUCUAAAAGAGGUGUUCUAGCUCAUGUCAGAGUUUCCAUGUUUUUGCAUAUUGUGACAGACAGCAUGAGGGUUUGGUUUGUGCUCGGUUUACUGUAUGCGCACCACAUGUUCUGCUUUACUAAAGACACGUUGCUGAACAAGGUAGGAGGUGGCCUUAGCCCGUCUGUCAUGUUCUGGGUCAGGCAGAAACAUCUGGCGGGAGUGGAGGUUGCCCCUUCGAGGGGAGCAGCCCAGCGUUCGCAUGCAGAGCGAAGCCGCGGGCUCAGCAAGCGGAGAGGCGGCAACGUGCGCCAGGGCUGGAAGCCUGCCGGGUGGUGGG